AUGGGGACCCUCCAAAGCCCCACUCUCGCCACUUUCAUUCAACAUAGUUUUGGAAGUCCUAGGCACAGCAAUCAGAGAAGAAAAAGAAAUAAAAGGAAUCCAGCUCUGCAGCAGAAUUUACGCACCGGGGGAGCUGUAGUUGUCACGCUGUACAAGACAGAUUUUCCUGAAGCUGCCAGUUCUUUUAGAACUCAUCAAAUUGAGGCCGCUCCAACCGGCUCUGCAGUUGAUGGAUUGAAGGCAAAUCUAGUCUUUAAGGAGAUUGAGAAGAAGCUUGAAGAGGAAGGAGAGCAGUUUGUGAAGAAAAUCGGUGAUAUUUUUGCCUUCAAGGUGAAGGAUGGCCCUGGAGGUAAAGAAGCCACCUGGGUGGUGGACGUGAAGAAUGGCAAAGGACCGGUGCUCCCUAACUCAGAUAAGAAGGCCGACUGCACAAUUACAGUGGCUGACUCGGACUUACUGGCUUUGAUGACCUGUAAAAUGAAUCCUCAGUCGUCCUUCUUUAAAGGCAAAUUGAAAAUCACUGGCAACAUGGGUCUAGCUACGAAGUUACAAAAUCGUCAGCUUCAUCCAGGCGAAGCUAAGCUGUGAAGAACUCCCGUUGCCUACCUUUGAAAAUCAAGAUGAGACAUAUAGAUAUCUAUCCAUAUAUUUCAUUGUCAGAACUUAGGUUGAAGCUACACAUUGGCAAAUAGCAUGAGAUUUU